rfam:Asian citrus Psyllid, Diaphorina citri - Florida Strain, whole genome shotgun sequence.
GCCUAGUUAGCUUAGUUGGUAGUGCGUCUGCCUUGUAAGCGCUAGGCCGCGGGUUCGAUUCCCG